UACGAAGGUGGCUAGCGUUGCUCGGAAUCACUGGGCGUAAAGGGUGCGUAGGCGGGUCUUUAAGUCAGGGGUGAAAUCCUGGAGCUCAACUCCAGAACUGCCUUUGAUACUGAGGAUCUUGAGUUCGGGAGAGGUGAGUGGAACUGCGAGUGUAGAGGUGAAAUUCGUAGAUAUUCGCAAGAACACCAGUGGCGAAGGCGGCUCACUGGCCCGAUACUGACGCUGAGGCACGAAAGCGUGGGGAGCAAACAGG
rnacentral:rRNA from 1 species